rnacentral:rRNA from 1 species
GAUGAACGCUGGCGGCGUGCCUAAUACAUGCAAGUCGAGCGAACAGACGAGGAGCUUGCUCCUCUGACGUUAGCGGCGGACGGGUGAGUAACACGUGGAUAACCUACCUAUAAGACUGGGAUAACUUCGGGAAACCGGAGCUAAUACCGGAUAAUAUAUUGAACCGCAUGGUUCAAUAGUGAAAGACGGUUUUGCUGUCACUUAUAGAUGGAUCCGCGCCGCAUUAGCUAGUUGGUAAGGUAACGGCUUACCAAGGCAACGAUGCGUAGCCGACCUGAGAGGGUGCUCGGCCACACUGGAACUGAGACACGGUCCAGACUCCUACGGGAGGCAGCAGUAGGGAAUCUUCCGCAAUGGGCGAAAGCCUGCCGGAGCAACGCCGCGUGAGUGAUGAAGGUCUUCGGAUCGUAAAACUCUGUUAUUAGGGAAGAACAAAUGUGUAAGUAACUAUGCACGUCUUGACGGUACCUAAUCAGAAAGCCACGGCUAACUACGUG